rnacentral:lncRNA from 1 species
CUUGCCAUUCUUUUUGGGACAAAAGGAGUACGCCAAUCAAAUGUUUAAAACGAUGAAUCAAACAUUCAAUAACUGAUAAGUUAUGCUUCUUUUGUUUUGAUGAUUUGACAAAUCUCACGAGAGAACCGAAUAAGGAUAUGAUACAAUUAGUUCCCUUGCAUUCAGAGUAACUAGUUAGAUGUCUAGUUCAAUUCUCAAUGAAAUCAGAUAAGGGAACAACAGAGGGAACAGAUAGGGAUCAGUUCCACUGGUCGUCGAGCAGUCAACUCUACAGUUGUAAAAGCUGCUGUACUCUACCGUCUAGUAGGCUGCUGUACUGUACCGUCUGCCAGCAGUACAUCAGUACCACUGUAGCUUUUCUCUAACACUUGCAAAUCAAAAGAUAAUAUUCCCUCAAGUGUUAGCCACCACCCCUCUCAAGAACAAAGCUGCUGCAACCUCAAGUGUAGCAACCCCUUUGGGAGGGUGCUACUUAAGAAACAAAUCUAAUUUACUACUUACAACAUUAAGAAGAUAUUAAUUAAAAAAUAUUCAGAAUAAUUUAGUAGCGGAAAUAGGCCCAUGCGAUGAGGUCCAAAGUGCAAUAUUUUUAUUUUCGAAAAUACUCUUCAUAAUUUUUAUAUUAUUUUUUAAAAAUAAAAUACAAUGUCAAAUAAGGUGAUAUAACCCUUCUUGAAUAAUCAACACGUUAAAGCAACUUUCUAACAAAAUUAUACUUUCUUUUGACAUCACUGCAAGUUUGUAUUGUACAUAAAUUUCAAACUAUCGGGUAUAAAAAGGAAAACUAGUUUUCUCCUUUGUACAUAUAUAUAAGACAAAGUGUAAAUUUAACAUAUUACAAGACUUGAGUUAUUAACACACCUUAAAACAACAAAAUAAGUUACCAAAUUCAAGUUACAAGAUUUUGGUUUUAAUAUCCAAGCCUCCAAAUAACAUACAGAAGUGUGACAUAUAUAUCAUGUACAAGUCCCAAAACUAUACAAAACUAUGGUGCAUAUGUAAAUGUGAUCUCUAUAAGUACUCCCAAAAACACUACUUCAUAAGGCCGUCUUCAAAUUUCAUCCCGUACAUUACCUACGAUAGAAAACAACUAUCGCUACGCAUAAAGCUUAGUGGCGUAUAAACUUUGGGGGCUUGGAGCUAUUAACUUCUCCAAUUCUCAUUUUUAGUCAUAGGUAGCUCAAAUAAAAUAUAAUUUUAAAUAAGUAAAUAAAUAUAUCAAAAGUAGCAAAUAUCAACCCUUGAAGUGUUUUCAAUUAUCAAAAACUAUGUUCAAGAUUCAAGAGUUGAGAAAGUCUAUACUAUCAAUCCAAGAAAGCUUGUCAAAAAUCUAUUUUUUUCGCCCAAUAUGUACGUCAUGCCAUCACACUAAGCAAAAUCAGAUAUCAAGAUAGACCGAAAUCCAAAAUCAAGUAGGGUCAAAACCCAACAGUCAAGAGAAUCAAGAACCAUAUUAAAAAUGGCUUUCUAGUUCGUACUUAACAUGGACAAGUUCCAUAAUUUAAAAAGAACUACAAAUCCAAAGUCAAGAUGGCAAAAGAUCCAAAUCAAGAUGCAUGCCAAGAUGAGUGACAACGUCACUGGCACAAGAAGGACAAAGUCCCAACAAGAAUGCAAAAUGAUCAAACAAUCCGUACGAGUGGGUGAUUUAGUAAAUAUCUUGCAAUACUUGAUAUAACACGAAUACAAUGCUAUUAAUUGAAGAGAAAAAAAAAUAAAAUAUCAGGUUAUUUCAAAAUAUUCCAGCAAGUAAAAAGAGUACAAAGUUUAUACACAAACCUUGGUGUUUUACCACAAAAUAGUUCAACCACAACUUGAAGACGUUCGAAUCGUCUACGCCCUAGACAAACCAAAUCCGUCCACUUCCUCAAACAUUUCUCCUUAGCUUUUAUAAGGAUAUAUAUACCUUAAAUACAUAAUAAAAUAUCUAUAUAAGUUUAGUGAUUUAACAUGUCAAACUAAACAUGAUAUUGGUAAAAAUUACCAAAAAUAUUUGAAACAGAAAUUCUGGAUAGUAUCAUUGUCUCGUGUUGUGACUCAGAUUUGAAGAUAAAAAAGGACAAACUAGACUAUGUGGUCUUCUUUACAAUUGUAGAUAUGUGUCUUAGAGUUUCAGAACAUCUUGAAUCACCCCCAUAUCAAUUUUGUACAAAGAGUUAUGCUAAACUUACUAACAGUAGUACAGGGAGGGUUUGUAAAACAGAAAAUCUGGGCAGCACCUGCCUUGUACUUUAUUACCUAUAUUCGGGUAAAUAAAAGACAAACCAAAUUUUGAUUCUUUCAUAAGAGUUAUAGAUCUAUGAAAUAGAUUUCCAGAAAGUCCUAGAUCACUUAAAACGGAGCUCUAUACAACAAGAUAUGAAAAAAACACUAAUAGCUGUCUAGUGUAAAAACGGGUUUAGUAAGUUACCACAAAAGAGAGGAGCAACUUGAGCUUCACCAAGAACGAAUUUUGCUGGUUGGUUUAUUGGAAAUUUAUGGUGGUUUUCAUGAAAUUUUCAGGUGAUAAGAAGGAGAGAGGUUAGGGGUGUUUUUCCUUUUCUUGAAAGAAUGAAAAUGGGGAGUUUAUGGAAGACUAAGUCAAUCAAAGUUGUCUUUAAGAAUUUUG